rnacentral:rRNA from 1 species
UGCCAUCAGAUGUGCCCAGAUGGGAUUAGCUAGUAGGUGGGGUAACGGCUCACCUAGGCGACGAUCCCUAGCUGGUCUGAGAGGAUGACCAGCCACACUGGAACUGAGACACGGUCCAGACUCCUACGGGAGGCAGCAGUGGGGAAUAUUGCACAAUGGGCGCAAGCCUGAUGCAGCCAUGCCGCGUGUGUGAAGAAGGCCUUCGGGUUGUAAAGCACUUUCAGCGGGGAGGAAGGCGAUAAGGUUAAUAACCUUGUCGAUUGACGUUACCCGCAGAAGAAGCACCGGCUAACUCCGUGCCAGCA